GCAGAAGCACAGAAAACGUUUUCCACCCAGAUCUACAACCCAUCCUUCAAUGUUCAAUUAAGAGAAUUUUCUUGGUGGAGUUCCCAUGGUGGCUCAGCAGGUUAAGAACCCAACAUAGGGGAGUUCCUGUCAUGGCUCAGUGGAAACGAAUCUGACUAGUAUCCAUGAGGAUGCAGGUUCGAUCCCUGGCGUUGCUCAGUGGGUUAAGGAUGCAGCAUUGCCCUGAGCUGUGGUGUAGGUCGCAGAUGAGGCUCAGGUCUGGUAUUGCUGUGGCUGUGGCAUAGGCCAGCAGCUACAGUUCCAAUUCAACCCCUAGUCUGGGAACCUCCACACGCCACAGGUGCAGGCUUAAAAAACCAAAAAAGACAAAAAAAAGAAAAAAAAAAAGAAAAAGAAAAAGAAAAAGAGAACCCAGUAUAGCCUCUGUCAGCAUGCGGGUUGGAUCCCUGGCCUCACUCAGUGGGUUAAGGAUCCAUGUGACUGGCAAGCCAAGGCAUAGGUCACAGAUAAGGCUCAGAUCUGGUGUUGCGAUGGCUGUGGCGUAGGCCUGAAGCUGCAGGUCCGAUUUGAGCCCCUAGCCUGGGAACUUCCGUAUGCUGCAGGUGUGACUGUAAAAAGAACAAAAGAGAGAAUUUUCUUACGACUUUAAGGUUUAAUAUCCCAUGGCAGAUGUAUUGCAAUAAUUAUGGGCAUUCAUAUAUUAUUUAAGAUCCAUAAUCACAUUGGAUUUAUACGUCUAUAUAAAGCCAUAGAAUUAACAAUUGUUUUACAGUUUUUUUGUGUAUAAUAACUGAUCUUUUCAAAUUGACCUUAUAGGUCAGAAAGCUAAGACAGACACUGAUUCUUUUUGAAAAAAAAUGUCCACCCUCUGACCAAUCAGUGUAUUGUUAUAAAUGCAUUUGAAUUCCAAUUUUAAUAUAAAUAAUAGGAGUUAGUUUUCCUAGAACUUUCCCAUGUAUACGUUACUAAGUUUUGUUUGAUUUUCCCUUGUUAAUAAAUAAAAUAGAUAACACAUUUUGGAGGGGUGAGUGUUCCACAGAAGAUUAAACAAAAAGAGGAAAUAUGCUUUAGUCUUUAUAGAAACAUAAUUUGAAGAAUUAUCUUUUUUUUAAGCCCUGCAGAAAGAGUCUGUCCACUUUGCCAAAUGCCUCCUGAGACUAGAACAUUCACAUUUGUUCAUUUCAAGAGUAAUUAUUGAAAAACUGUGUGUUAUUCAAUCUUGGGGUAUAGACGAGCUGCUUACAUGUAACCACAUAGUCUGCCAACGGCUCCAGAGGCUCCUGCUCUCACUGCCUGAUUGUAGCUUUCCCUCUACCUCCUUGUCUGAUGUUUGCUAAGCUCUCUCUCUUCCCUUGUCACAGCCAGGCACAUCCAGGCAUCACUUUUCACACUAUGCUGCUAUUGCUCUUGCCUUUCUGGGUUUAAUUUGUUUAGUCACAUGUCAUAGGCAGGAUAAUGCCCCCUCCCCCAAAGAUGUCCAUCAUCCAAUUCCCCAGAACCUAUGAAUAUGCUAUGUUGCAUGGCAAAAAGGAAUUUAAGUUACAGAUUGAAUUGAGGUGGCUAAUCAGUUGACCUUACAAUAAGGAGAUUAUUCUGGAUUAUCCAGGUGGGCCUAAUGCAAUCACAAGGAUCCUUAGAUGCAAGAGCCUGGCAAAUGAGGAGGUCAGGUGACACAAAGUAAUUAGGACUUGACCGACUGUUGCUGCCCACCAUCCGAGGAACACAUGUGGCCUCUAGAAGCUGGAAAAGGCAAAGGGACAGACACUCCACUCAAGCCUCCCUCCAGCAGGAAGACAGCCCUGCUGACACCUUGAUUUUAGUCCAGGGAGACUUGUGUCAGACUUCCGACCUACAGAAUUAUAGAAUCUUAACUUUGUGUUGCUUGAAGCCACAAUGCUUGUGGGAAUUCAUUAUGGCAGCUGCAGAAAUAGAACACGGCCUCUCUGUGAUGGAGAUGUCCUGUCUGUCCACAUCCUUGGGAAGCAGGAUUCCCACACUCUCAUAGAGGACUCGUGUACCUGACCUUGAAUUUGGUACCUCUCUCUCCAGACUGGAGGACACGACUACCUUCCCCACAUCAAUGCCUUUGAGUUGAGAGGGAUGGGACCUACUGAGAAAUGCUUGGGCCCCUGGGGAUAUUCUAAGUUCAUUUUUUAAACACCCUUCUUCUAUCUUGGGCACAGAUACUCUGGAGCGGUUUGGAGAGUGCCCAGUGGGGAAUCAGUCAGGAGCCACCUUACCUAUACCCGGGACAACUGCUCCCCUUUCUCACAUAGACCACGGUGAGGGGUGAGGCCCUCCCUGCCAGAUUUGACAUGGUGCUUUUUCCUUUAAGGACUCCAUGGUCUCCUAAUGAAGUCUGGCUCCUCUUACCCACCUCCAUCCCUUUACCAAGUAGGUCUGCAGGUAUCAAACACCAACGGUGAGCAGUUUUCAUGCUCUUGCCUGAGAUGUUUUGGAGCUCCAGGGAAAUCAGGCAUGCCACCAGACUACUGUUUGUUUCUAUGAAUGCUGCCUGCUCGGUGAUGGAUAAGAAGUUGCCCAAGCAUUCUAGACCAAAGAAAGAGAUGUAUAUGCUUGAGUACUGCUCCCUUUGCUGUCCUAAUUCAGCUCAAGUAUGGUCACUAUGCCCUGUGACAUAAAAUUAAAUAACAGAUGACCUCUGUCCUUAGGGAGCUUAGGCACCUAGUGGAGCAAUAAUACACCAUGUGAUCUUUCCAGCAGGUGUGCACUGGACUGCUGCAUCACUGGAUCCGCUUUGCUUAGCCAAGGCCAUUUUGGCUCGGCCAUUUGAUCUGCUAUAUUGGCUGUUAACAUGUUUCAGAUGUGAGAGAGAACAGUGAAAUUGAGCUUAACUCAUCUUUAAGUUGGAAAUGGAAGCCUGUUGAGAGAGAAGAAUCAGAACCUUGAAUAAUUAAUAAGAGCUACUAAGUAGUAGAAAGACUUCUAGUGCCUGGGCAAAGGUCAACAUUCAGACAAUUGUUUGUUGUUGUAUGGAAGUAUAAAUUAGUCCGAAGGGGCUAUAUAGUGGGUGCCAAAUAAGUGCCUGUGGGGGUCAGAGGACUCUAGAUAAUUUGUCUCUAAAGUAAUUUGGUUGUAAAUUUUUUAAAAAUAGCUGAGCAACAUAACAAUUUGUGUAAAACUUUUUUUUGGUGUGAAAUGAGUGUCUCUGGUUAUUUUUUUCCUCUUAAAUUUUGCUCAUUUUGGUGCACUCUAAAAUAAAUAAUCCAUAUGGCUUGAAGCAAAUUGAUUUUUAAAAUGUAUUUUUAAUUUGAAUUUUGUUUUUUAAAAUCUUGAAUUAGUUGCUUAGCUAUAUAUUUUUUUCCUUGGGCUAUUUGUAAUAGUUGAAAACACAACCCUAAAUAUCCAUCCGUAGCAAGAAGGAUAAAGACUCUUUUGAAGCCUGUCUGGUCUGUGUGCAAAUUCCAUGUCUGGACAUAGUGACAAUAUGACCUUGAAUUUUAACUUGGCAUCACUAAGGUCCUAUAUUCACAUUUGUAAAAUGAUGUUCAUCCUAUCUACCUCACAGAACUAUCAAGGAUUAACAUAGACAAUUUUAUUUUAUUUUAUUUUGGAUUUAUUUAUUAUUAUUAUUACUUUUUUAAUAGUUAUUUCUCCAAUACAAUUUUUUUUCUACCAUACAGCAUGGUGACCCAGUUACAUAUACAUGUACACAUUCUAUUUUCGUACAUUAUCAUGCUCCAUCAUAAGUGACGAGACAUAGUUCCCAGUGCUACACAGCAGGAUCUCAUUGCUCAUCCAUUCCAAAGGCAAUAGUGUGCAUCCAUUGACCCCAAGCUCCCCAACCCCGCCCCGCCCCAGCAGCCACAAAUCUAUUCUCCAAUUCCAUGAUUUUCUUUUCUGUGGAAAGGUUCAUUUGUGCCGUAUAUUAGAUUCCAGAUAUAAGCAAUAUCAUAUGGUAUUUGUCUCUCUCUUUCUGACUUACUUCACUCAGUAUGAGAGUCUCUAGUUCCAUCCAUGUUGCUGCAAAUGGCAUUAUUUUGUUCUUUUUUCUGGCUGAGUAGUAUUCCAUUGUGUAUAUAUACCACAUCUUCCUAAUCCAGUUGUUUGUCGAUGGACAUUUGGAUUGUUUCCAUGUCUUGGCUGUUGCGAAUAGAGCUGCAAUGAACAUGCGGGUGCAGGUGUCUUUUUUAAGGAGAGUUUUGUCCAGAUAUAUGCCCAAGAGUGGGAUUGCUGGGUCAUAUAGUAGUUCUAUGUAUAGAUUUAACAUAGGCAAUUUUAAAACUAAAACUUACCACAGUGCCUAGCACACAGUAACCUCUCACUUAUUAAAAGGUAGCUUCUUUCAUCAUUAAUUUCUAUUACUUUUUCCCUAUUAAAAAAAGAAAAAAGCAAUGUAUUAUUAUGGCAGGAAAAAAAAUAGGGUAAAUACAAAGAAUACAAUAAUCUCACCCAUUCAAAGAUAACUGCUCUUAUUAUCUUGCCAGAUAUUUCCCAAGUCUUUUUAUAUGAUUCAUUUGUUUCUUUUAUUUUUUUCUUUUUAGGGCCAUGCCUUCAGUGUAUAUGGAAGUUCCCAGGCUAAGGUGAAAUUGGAGCUGCAGCUACUGGCCUAUACCACAGCCACAGCAAUGCUGGAUCCAAGCCACAUCUGCACUUGCAGCAACGCUGGCUCCUUUACCCCCUGAGUGAAGCCAGGGAUCGAGCCACAUACUCACGGACACUAUGUUGGGUUCUUAACUCACAAAGCCACAAUAGGAACCCUUUUUAUAUGAUUUCUAUAUAUUCUUACACAUUACUGAUUAUUUUAUAAAAUGAAAUCUUAACAUGUAUGUGCUAUGUUGUAACUUACUGUAGGUAAUUUAAGCAAACCACUAUCAGAUAGACAUUUAUGCUAUUCCAAGUUUUUACUAUAUGGCAGCGCAAAACAAAAAAAAAAUGAAUUACAAAUUUAAAAAGUCCCAAUCAUUCUAAAAUUUGACACAAAUUAUUUAAUACACACAAAGAGUAACAAAAUAAUGCACAAUUGACUAAUACCUUAAGCAAACCAUUGGGUCAUCAUUUAAACUUCAUUUUCAUGUGAAUCUGCUUUCUUGCAUAGGAAUGUUCUUAAAAAUAUUUAAUUUGAAGUUCCUGAUGGCUCAGUGGGUUAAGGAUCCGGGAUAGUCACUGAUGAGGUGUAGGUUCAAUCCCUGGCCUGGGAUCUUCCACAUGCCAUGGGUUUGGCAAAAAAAAAAAUUAAUUUAAUGUUCUGGCUAAAUCAUAUGUUAUCAGGGAAAACACGAGACUUUGGUGGCAGGAGGAGGUGACGGCAUGAAGGUCUUAGAUGCCAUAUUAAAGCAAUUGACUAUGGAGGAUGUGCAACAUUUGAAGGGUUUUAAAGCAGAAGCUGGGGAAGACCCAUUCUAGUUUUAGACCAUGCAGAACUGAGCCCUGGAAAGAGUUACUCAGGUAUCGAAGUCACCCUCAGAUGAACAUAAGGGCUGUGAGUUAAACCAAAAAUUCCAGCAGGUUUCCUUGAAUCAUUUCUGGACAAAGUUAAGUAGGAUAUCACUAAGUAUUAACCCAUCCAAAUGGAUCACAUCUCUUUCAUAUCCUGUU
rnacentral:lncRNA from 1 species